CCACACAAACACAUACCACAUACACACACCAUACAAAAACACACCACACACACAUACACCAUACACACACACCACACACACAUACCACAAACACCACACAAACACACACCACACAAACACACACCACAUAUGCACACCACAAAUACACACCACACACACACACCACACAAACACACCACAAACACCACACACACACCACAUACACACACCACACAAACACACACCACAUACACACACCACACAAAUGCACACCACAAAUACACACCACACACACACCACACAAACACACCACAAACACCACACAAACACACACCACAUACACACACCACACAAAUGCACACCACAAAUACACACCACACACACACACCACACACACACACCACAAACACACCACAAACACACACCACAUACACACACCACACAAAUGCACACCACAAAUACACACCACACACACACACCACACAAACACACCACAUACACACACCACAUACACACACUGCAUACACACACCAUACAAACACACACCACAUAUAUACACCACACAAACACACACCACAUACACACACCACACACACACACCACUUACACACACCACACACACACCACAUAUGCACACCACACACACACCACAUACACCACACAAACACACACCACACAAACAUACCACAAACACCACACAAACACACAUCACGUACACACACCACACCACACAAACACAAACCACGUAUGCACACCACACAAACACACACCACAUGCACACCACACAAACACAUACCACAUACACACACUACAUACACACCAUAUACACACACCACAAACACACACCACAUACACACACACCACACACACACCACAUACAUACAAACACACACGCACAGAGACAGUAAAACAGAAAGGAAUCCUAGACAUUUAAAGUUAGAAGGGGACUUGACGUGGUUUCCUUUCCUUCUCCCAUUUACAGUGAGACAUAGGGAGCCCAGAGAGGGUAAGGGGCUCAUCCAGGCUGGCGCAGCAGGCUCAGUGGCGGUGCCAGGACCAGAUCACAUGUGACGCAGGUUCUGUGGAUGGACUGGGCUCAGCCGGGCAGCUCUUCCACUCCCUGUGAUGCUCCACUGCGACACCUGGGCUGGACGCCCAGGCUGGCCUGCUCUCCUAGCCGGUUCUGGGAACCCAGCUGAGAGUUUCGAUUGGAGCCUCAGUUCUCCUCCCAGCGCCCGCACCAUGUGGCCCCGCGUUGUAACGAUAGAUUCCUGGAUCCUAAGAGGAGGGAAGUAGGAGCUUUCAGCCUCUGUAGGACCUGGGCUCAGAUG
ensembl:lncRNA